UACAGAGGGUGCAAGCGUUGUUCGGAAUUAUUGGGCGUAAAGAGCGUGUAGGCGGCCAGGUAGGUCCGUUGUGAAAACUCGAGGCUCAACCUCGAGACGCCGAUGGAAACCAUCUGGCUAGAGUCCGGAAGAGGAGAGUGGAAUUCCCGGUGUAGCGGUGAAAUGCGCAGAUAUCGGGAAGAACACCCGUGGCUAAGGCGGCUCUCUAGUACGGUACUGACGCUGAGACGCGAAAGCGUGGGGAGCGAACAGG
rnacentral:rRNA from 1 species